CAAAGGGGGACUCCACAACACAAAGCUAGAUGUGCCCUCUCAAACUUUUUCCACGACGCAUGGACAGGCGCGCAGAGCAAAACGCCUCCAGGUGGAUUUUAACACCAGAUUAACCAGCAAAGCGUUUUUCUCCAGUUGGAGGUUAAGGAAAGGAAAAUAUGUGGAAAUCACAUGGAAGAUGUACGGAGUCACCUAUCAAGCGGCUUUUAAGACGCAGAGGAGGAUUAAGAGACUGUGCAGUUUUCUUUUGGAGAAGGUGAAGACUCAUCUCAUAAGGAUUUAAACCUCAGGAGCAGCAGUGCCAGGCGGGAUGCAUUUUAGGCACGCUUGGAAAUCUGAAACUCAUGGAGACACUUUAAGGAUUAUAAAAAAUGUGUAGUGUGUCUCUCCACAAGACAGCAUCCCAGCCCAAUGUCACUGGGAGAACAGGAUAUUGCAUCUAGGAUCCUCCUCGGCCCUCCACAUGGAAGUGUGGGAGUGGUGAGGUCUGGGAGAUCACGACCUUAAUUCUCUCCAAGACACACGGUUUAAUUAACACUGGAGGAAUCCUCACUGGCUCCAGACCUUGAAUGUACAGGGGAAUUGGAGUGCCAAGAUGCAUUGUGUCCUAUCCCCAGGACCCCUGGCUGUGCAGCUAUAGCCACUGAUGAUUAAGCAACAAUGCAGACAAAAAUGAAGCCCCCUGUCUAUACAGUCCACAUUGCGAGAAGACCACCUCACAGGGAUUUUCCCCUUCACCAGGUGUGGCAGAGAGAGUCAGAGGGGAACACCACUGGGUCUAGACAGGACUAUUAACCGGAUCUUCAAUGAAACCUGUGUGGAAAUAGAGAAGAAAAUGAAGAUAAAGAGGAAAACUGCUUGAUGGAGUCAACAGUUAAUUAUGCAUAUCAAUCACAUAUACGAUAUGUUCGUCAUCUCUGUUGUCAUAUACUUUAACUCCUUCGUUUCCCAAGUGUUACUUUUCACAGGAUAUCACCGACUGUAAAUAAGUGAGAAAAUCAUUAUGCAUUGAUGUUAUUUGGUGUGUGCUAUAUGAUGUGAAUCACAACAACUCUUGCUGCAAAGUUUUGUUAAUGUUUCUCAAGACAAUGAGCUUAUAUAGAGCUCUAUAAAAAUUUACAAAUGAAUUCAUUGCAAAUUCAGGACCACCAUGAGCGUUACUGCGCUGUACGUGUGUGUGAUGUAUUUGGAAAUGACUAUUCUUGUUUAUGUUCACUGAUACAUGAGAAAGUGCUGUUUAUUUGUCCACAUUGUUGUUCCGCAAUAGUGCCUCCUCUUUACGGUACAUAGCUUUUUCCUAAUGCUUCUCAUGUACUGUAUGUACAUUUGAGAGAACAUGUGAUCAGAACAAUGUAUAAGGAUUGACAGUGUUAGGCAGCUUCGACAACCCUACUGUCUGGUACAACAACAUAUUCAUGUAUGUGCAUUGUAUUGGUUAAGAAGUAAUUAUCCCAAUGUGGUCACGGGGGGAACGAAGACAACAUUAACAACAUGUACUCAUACAAUAUGUAAAGCUCUGUGUAGAAAUAUUCCCAGAAUGUAGAGCUCUAAUGGGACAAUAUAUGUACAGCAUUCCACUUUUAUCAUCCCACCAUAGAUUAUUAAUGAAUGUAUUGUUCUGCGACAAAUCUAGGUAAUAUAAGGUUGAAUAAAGAAUUUUUAAUGGUGUCUCAACAGACUCGUAAAAACAUGGGACUACACUUGUCAUAUGAGAAUCUAGCAGUGUAGGAAUGAUGCACUGUAUAAAGUACCUUUUAUAUGUGACGUCUUCCACAUCUGUGUUUUAAAACCCUGUAAGUAUUUAGGAGUUGAGUGGCUUGCUGCAGGGUGCUGUUGUAAUGUCACUAGAGACUUAAGAUGCAAAGUGAGCAAUGUGUCAUAAAUACACUAAAAGCCUUCUUAAGCCUUGUUUUAUAAUAUGUUUGUGGUUCACUUACUGCAUGUCCUUUAUUUUUGCACGUCCAGUUUGACCGGUAAUGAUAGAAACAGAACUGUUGCACGGGCUGUGCAAAGUGUGUGACCGCACACGGUCUCCGUGUAUAUGUACUUAUAUAUAUAUAUAUAUGGGAUUACAUGCAUAUAAAAAGCAUAUAAACAUUGAACAAAAAGUUCAGAAAUU